AUGUUCACUAAAACAAUUUUUCACUGAUGUCUUCAAAGUGUCCACAAUAAUAAAUGUUUCUACGUAAAAAAAGUACUCGAGGCUGAAUGGAUUUUUGUUAUUCUUUUAAAGAAUUCACUAUUGUACCCCGAAUUCGACUAAAGCUUUAAGACACCUGACGAUAUCCUACGGAUCAAAGAGGAAAUGUUUCCUUCCACCUGACGCGACUAUGCCGCCUCUUUCGGGAAAUUUCCAGUCAAUGUCAGCUAAAUUGUAACACGUGUAUGCGCUCUCUAUCGUAUGGUUCUCUAUUCUCUAUAUGCAUGCUAUAUGCAAUGCGCCAAGUCGAUGUCGAUAUGGAUGAAAGGACUUUGAUUGGCUGAUUGGUUACACACCGAAAUAUCUGAAAAAUAAGCUUUUUAUGCAAAAUAAAAUUGACGCAAUGAAGAUUU